rnacentral:tRNA from 1 species
CAGGGGUUAGUUUAUAAAAAUAUUGGUUUUGGGGACCAAAGAUAGGGAUCUUCCCUACCCCUGA